CACGUAGUUAGCCGGAGCUUACUUUACAGGUACUGUCAUUUUUCUUCCCUGUCUACAAUAGUUUACAAUCCGAAAACCUUCUUCCUAUACGCGGCGUCACUGCGUCAGAGUUUCCUCCAUUGCGCAAUAUUCCCGACUGCUGCCUCCCGUAGGAGUCUGGGCCGUAUCUCAGUCCCAAUGUGGCCGUUUAACCUCUCAGUUCGGCUACUGAUCGUCGUCUUGGUAAGCCUUUACCCCACCAACUAACUAAUCAGUCGCAAGUUCAUCUAUUAGCGGAUUUCUCCUUUCCCAUUUGUAUCAUGCGAUUCUCAUGGCAUAUGCGGUAUUAGCACUGAUUUCUCAGUGUUAUUCCCCCUAAUAGGCAGAUUACUUACGUGUUACUCACCAGUCCGCCACUAACCUCUUCUAAAUGUAAACAUUCAAAUUCAGUUCGUUCGACUUGCAUGUCUUAUGUGCGCCGCCAGCGUUUUAUCCUGAGCCAGGAUCAAACUCU
rnacentral:rRNA from 1 species